GUCAUGAGUUUUGCUUGUCAGCAGUUUGAGGUUCAGUUUCCCAGAAACCCCUGCACUUAUCUCCUUGAAGCUUGGCAAGAUUCAUGGCCUUAGAAGAGGCUACUGUCUCUGCAAG